CCUUGGAAGUAAAAGUCGUAACAAGGUCUCCGUUGGUGAACCAGCGGAGGGAUCAUUACUGAGUUUACGCUCUAUAACCCUUUGUGAACAUACCUAUAACUGUUGCUUCGGCGGGUAGGGUCUCCGCGACCCUCCCGGCCUCCCGCCUCCGGGCGGGUCGGCGCCCGCCGGAGGAUAACCAAACUCUGAUUUAACGACGUUUCUUCUGAGUGGUACAAGCAAAUAAUCAAAACUUUUAACAACGGAUCUCUUGGUUCUGGCAUCGAUGAAGAACGCAGCGAAAUGCGAUAAGUAAUGUGAAUUGCAGAAUUCAGUGAAUCAUCGAAUCUUUGAACGCACAUUGCGCCCGCCAGCAUUCUGGCGGGCAUGCCUGUUCGAGCGUCAUUUCAACCCUCAAGCUCUGCUUGGUGUUGGGGCCCUACAGCUGAUGUAGGCCCUCAAAGGUAGUGGCGGACCCUCCCGGAGCCUCCUUUGCGUAGUAACUUUACGUCUCGCACUGGGAUCCGGAGGGACUCUUGCCGUAAAACCCCCCAAUUUUCCAAAGGUUGACCUCGGAUCAGGUAGGAAUACCCGCUGAACUUAAGCAUAUCAAUA
rnacentral:rRNA from 2 species